rnacentral:rRNA from 1 species
UACGUAGGGGGCAAGCGUUGUCCGGAAUCAUUGGGCGUAAAGCGCGUGUAGGCGGCCCGAUAAGUCCGCUGUGAAAGUCCAGGGCUCAACCCUGGGAUGCCGGUGGAUACUGUCGGGCUCGAGUCCGGAAGAGGAGUGUGGAAUUCCUGGUGUAGCGGUGAAAUGCGCAGAUAUCAGGAGGAACACCAAUGGCGAAGGCAGCACUCUGGGACGUGACUGACGCUGAGACGCGAAAGCGCGGGGAGCAAACAGG